CUUCUCCAAUUCAAGCUUUAAAAAAAUACAUUUUUCGUAAUACCGGUAUUAAAAAGUAGAAAUAUGAAGCUAACUACUGUAAAACUUAUAUUGGGGGUUGUCAUCUUCUGCAUUUUGGCAGAAAACAGUGCGUCGUUCCCAACGGAGGACGGUACGGAUUUUCAGAAAGAGGAAACAGCCCCCGGAAAUCGGACGAGACGGCGAGCGGAUUACGGGAGCAUUGACAACUUGCAGUACGCGUACGGGUGUCAGGACUACGGGUGUCACAAGGGUCGCUGCUGGGCGUGGUGCGGGGUUCGACCUGACGACCACAAGCAGUGGUGCUGGACGACGCGAGGAAACAUGUGGGACUUGCAGUAUGUCGGAUGCUCGUCCCACAAUGAUUGUGACGGAUGCUGGCAUUGUGCAGGGACGUGUUCGUUGUAGGAGAAUUUUCGAACGGAGGAAUAUUUGAAGGCUUCAUAAGCAAUUCAGAUUUGUAUUCCUCCAUUUGAUUAAGAGGUUUGCAUUUACUUAUUAAAGAUUUAUUACAGAUUAAUUUGUGACUGAUAUGGAUACCCUUCUGUUUUUUUAAGUGUUUAAUUAAGACGUAUACAUUACAUAUCUAUUGUUACAUAAAUUUCAUAUUUAAGUUAGUUGUUUUAACAUGGACAUUUUAGCUGAGCAAGUUAAUGUAUUUAAUCUCCAAUAUCGGUUUGACUUACAAUAGCACUAUAAUUUGCGGGCACAAUUUACCACGUCAACUCCAAGCAAAUAUACUGCGACGAGUUUGUAAUAAAUAAACUGUCAUCCUCUUCAUAUUUAAA